GUAUAUAAUGUAUAAUGUACUGGUUUGGCUAAUGAAGAUAGACCACAUAAUGUUUUCCAUAUUAGUUUUCAUAUUUCAUUUUCAUCAUCUGCUUUAAUUUUUGUAGACCUUGGGAAAGCCUGGGAUGGGCGAAUACGGCAGCUGCUGUCCGCCGUGGGUGGCUACCCACACACCAUGUCCUGGGACAUUACAGCCUGAGGAGGAAUAGAACGUGCAUGCAUUCCAGAACCUGACCCUUUGCAAAGUUAUAACAGAGACCUACACGCAGAACUUCUCUGUCCUGCAGGAAGCGAAUAUUGAGAAUAGCAUUGGGCAUACUCUGAAAUUUGGACUACACAGAUGGUCAGCUGGUCCUCAAGACUGAAAACACACACCAACAUUUUUAUUUUCUGUAUUUUAUUUAUUUAUAGUUUUUAUUUAUUUAUUUAUUUUACUUUGAGCCUUGAUGGCAUUUUAUGAUGAAAUUGUAAUAUAAUGUUGCACUGUUCUCACCCAUGUUGAAUUCCUGAUAUUUGUCAAUUAGGCAUUCCCUCAGCCUCAAGACUGGAAACACAUUAUAUGCACUCACAUCCAUUUUUGCCAUCUUCAUUCUUAUUUUGUGCAUUUUACAUUGUUUGCUUUUGUUGUUUGUUUGUUUUUUUUGCCUUGUUUGCAUUUUAUUAUGAAAAAACAUUGUAAUGUUGCACUGUUACCCUCUUACCUAUGUUGUAUUCCUGAUAUUUUCCUAUUAAACAUCAUCAUCCUUCAACAUUUGCCUUGUCAUUUCAAAUGCAUUCAACACUUUAAUAAUGAAUUAGGCCUACAAACUACAGAAAUAUGACAACAUUAUGGGCAUUUCCCAUUAUGUUGUCAUAUGUCUGCAGCUUGUAGGCCUAAUGGGAAAUAGCCUGUGCAAGAAGGUUACUAUAAUGUUGUAGGGGAACCUUUUGAAAACCAACAUGAACACGAAUAAAGGAACGGUGAAAAAACGUAGAUGAACCGACCGGGAACCAUACAAAAAAACGUUCUGGGAACAAAAAAAAAACUUUCCUGUUAACCAAAUUAUAACCAUAACAGACCCAAAAAACAACGUAAAAUAACCGGAAAAAAAACCAACGCCUCAUGUUCCGGGAACAUUCUCGGA